ACUGCAGACAUCGUAAGUCUUUGAAUAGGCCCAACAAUCAUUCACAUUAUAAAUAUGAUUCUAAAAUGCUGCAGUUCAAUUGCAAAUGAAAUUUUUAAAUUUAGUCUUAAACCAUUAAUUAUGUAUUCAUUUUUUUUGGAAUUAUUGAAUAGAUUUAAUUCUAAGGCUCUCGUCUGAUCAACCAGAAUUUCCUCUGUUUCUGAAUUCAACACUUACAGUUACGAUAUUAAUGUUUACUGUUAUGUCAGUUGACCAGGAAAAUAGAACUAAUAACCAAUUUAUGAUAUAUUUGUGGUAAUGAGUAUUAUAAUCAGUUAAUUUAUAGUGGCUGUCAUAUUUAUAUUUUCUAUUUACAUGAAAAUAAAAUCUUCGUAUACAUUCCAAAUAAACCUUAGAUUUAAGAAAGCUUUAAUUCUGUAACAGUUGUCUCUAUCCACGAUUGCUCCACCUGUAGAAUACAUUUUCUUAUUGUAUAGAAAAAUCAUAUGCUAGGAAAGGGGAAAACUUAAAAGCUCAUU
rnacentral:sRNA from 1 species